rnacentral:rRNA from 1 species
CCCUUAGAUGUUCUGGGCCGCACGCGUGCUACACUGACCGGCGCAACAAGCUUUUUUCCUUGGCUCGACAGGCCUGGGUAAUCUUCGAACGCCGGUCGUGAUGGGGAUAGAUCCUUGCAAUUUUUGAUCUUCAACGAGGAAUUCCUAGUAAAUGCGAGUCAUCAUCUCGCGUUGAUUACGUCCCUGCCCUUUGUACACACCGCCCGUCGCACCUACCGAUUGAAUGGUCCGGUGAAAUCUUCGGAUCUGAGAGAUGUCUGAUUAAUUUCGGACGCCUUUUGGAAAAGUUGCUUAAACCUUNCNAUUUAUNGGAAGGUGAANUCGUANCA